GACGAACGCUGGCGGCAUGCCUAACACAUGCAAGUCGAGCGAGUUGAUCCCUUCGGGGUGAAGCUAGCGGCGGACGGGUGAGUAACACGUGGGCAACCUGCCUCAUAGAGGGGAAUAGCCUCCCGAAAGGGAGAUUAAUACCGCAUAAGAUUGUAGCUUCGCAUGAAGUAGCAAUUAAAGGAGUAAUCCGCUAUGAGAUGGGCCCGCGGCGCAUUAGCUAGUUGGUGAGGUAACGGCUCACCAAGGCGACGAUGCGUAGCCGACCUGAGAGGGGGGUCGGCCACAUUGGGACUGGGACACGGCCCAGACUCCUACGGGAGGCAGCAGUGGGGAAUAUUGCACAAUGGGGGAAACCCUGAUGCAGCAAUGCCGCGUGAGUGAUGACGGCCUUCGGGUUGUAAAGCUCUGUCUUCAGGGACGAUAAUGACGGUACCUGAGGAGGAAGCCACGGCUAACUACGUGCCAGCCGCCGCAGUAACAC
rnacentral:rRNA from 1 species